rnacentral:rRNA from 1 species
CGCCUAACACAUGCAAGUCGAACGAAGUAGCAAUACUUAGUGGCAGACGGGUGAGUAACAUGUGGGUAUCUUCCCUAUGGCCUGGAAUAACACGAGGAAACUUGUGCUAAUACUGGAUAAGUCUUUACGGAGAAAGCUUUAUGCACCAUUGGAUGAGCCCGCACUUGAUUAGUUUGUUGGUAGGGUAAUGGCCUACCAAGACUUUGAUCAAUAGCUGAUUUGAGAGGAUGAUCAGCCACAUUGGGACUGAGACACGGCCCAAACUCCUACGGGAGGCAGCAGUGGGGAAUCUUGCACAAUGGAGGAAACUCUGAUGCAGCGAUGCCGCGUGAGUGAAGAAGGCCUUUGGGUUGUAAAGCUCUUUCGUCGGGGAAGAAAAUGACUGUACCCGAAUAAGAAGGUCCGGCUAACUUCGUGCCAGCAGCCGCGGUAAUACGAAGGGACCUAGCGUAGUUCGGAAUUACUGGGCUUAAAGAGUUCGUAGGUGGUUGAAAAAGUUGGUGGUGAAAUCCCAGAGCUUAACUCUGGAACUGCCAUCAAAACUUUUCAGCUAGAGUAUGAUAGAGGAAAGCAGAAUUUCUAGUGUAGAGGUGAAAUUCGUAGAUAUUAGAAAGAAUACCAAUUGCGAAGGCAGCUUUCUGGAUCAUUACUGACACUGAGGAACGAAAGCAUGGGUAGCGAAGAGGAUUAGAUACCCUCGUAGUCCAUGCCGUAAACGAUGUGUGUUAGACGUUGGAAAUUUAUUUUCAGUGUCGCAGCGAAAGCAAUAAACACACCGCCUGGGGAGUACGACCGCA